UGAGUAAUGUCUGGGAAACUGCCUGAUGGAGGGGGAUAACUACUGGAAACGGUAGCUAAUACCGCAUAACGUCGCAAGACCAAAGAGGGGGACCUUCGGGCCUCUUGCCAUCAGAUGUGCCCAGAUGGGAUUAGCUAGGAGGUGGGGUAAAGGGCUCACCUAGGCGACGAUCCCUAGCUGGUCUGAGAGGAUGACCAGCCACACUGGAACUGAGACACGGUCCAGACUCCUACGGGAGGCAGCAGUGGGGAAUAUUGCACAAUGGGCGCAAGCCUGAUGCAGCCAUGCCGCGUGUGUGAAGAAGGCCUUCGGGUUGUAAAGCACUUUCAGCGAGGAGGAAGGUGGUGAACUUAAUACGUUCAUCAAUUGACGUUACUCGCAGAAGAAGCACCGGCUAACUCCGUGCCAGCAGCCGCGGUAAUACGGAGGGUGCAAGCGUUAAUCGGAAUUACUGGGCGUAAAGCGCACGCAGGCGGUUUGUUAAGUCAGAUGUGAAAUCCCCGGG
rnacentral:rRNA from 1 species